UAAAGGAAUUGGCGGGGGAGCACCACAAGGGGUGAAGCCUGCGGUUUAAUUGGAUUCAACGCCGGGAAGCUUACCGGGGGAGACAGCGGAAUGAAGGUCGGGCUGAAGAUCCUACCAGACUAGCUGAGAGGUGGUGCAUGGCCGUCGCCAGUUCGUGCCGUGAGGUAUCCUGUUAAGUCAGGCAACGAACGAGACCCGCACCUUUAGUUGCCAGUGAGAGGCUUCGGCCUUUUAGGAACGCUAAAGGGACCGCCAUCUUAUAGAUGGAGGAAGGAGCGAGCCACGGCAGGUCAGUAUGCCCCGAAUCCCCCGGGCCACACGCGGGCUGCAAUGGUAUGGACAAUGGGACGCAACUCCGAAAGGAGAAGCCAAUCUCUAAACCAUAUCUCAGUUGGGAUUGUUGGCUGCAACUCGCCGACAUGAACGUGGAAUCCCUAGUAAUCGUGUGUCAUCAUCGCACGGUGAAUACGUCUCUGCUCCUUGCACACACCGCCA
rnacentral:rRNA from 1 species